AGGGUAUCAACAAGUUUGAAUUUUAUAAUAUGGGCUUACUCCUUGUAACUUUUAUCAACUGAUACGUAACGUUGGCUAAAUCGUGUUUCUUUGUGUAACGUUAUCCACAUGUGGACUUGUUUCAAUUCCGUUAAUGAGGUGUCUGUGUAUCCACAUUGUUUUUAGCUAGCCUGUGUGUCUUAUGCUGCCGUUUUUUUUAACUUAUUUUAUAAACAUUGCUUUCAGGUGAUGCCGUUUUCUGUAGUAUUGUUCCCGGAGGAGGAUGACUGUGUGGCAGCAGUUCCACGCCAGUACUCCAAGGCACCAGAGAGGUACUCCAUGCCACCAUGUAAAGGAUGGCUACAUAAGUGGCAAAAAGGCAGAGGUAGGGGGACGUUUUAGCUCUGCACAAGAAGAACAUUUGGAGAAGAUCAAGUGGCUGACUGAAGAGAAGGUCGAGCUGAGGGCACAGCU
ensembl:lncRNA